GGGGCGUUAGAGUAGUGGUCUAACUCGUCACCCUUUCAAGGUGAAGAUCAGGGGUUCGAAUCCCCUACGCCCUACCA
rnacentral:tRNA from 1 species